ACACCCACAGGAACUGGCACGCCCACAAAUAUAAACAGGCUGAUGAUCGGAAACCAUUUCCACAGACAUGUGGAAACACACGCUCCCACGUACACACGGACUUCCCCUUCCAGUCCUCAAAGGGGCUCCAACGACAGCCUGAUGACGGUCUGCCGCGGGUUGUGAAAGACGUCUCCUUAGACAGACAGCUCGCUGCACCCAGCUUCUGCAGGCAGGGGUCUGGAGGAUGGGACGGCCCUGGGAGCCCCAAAGUGCUCUGGGCCAGAGCCAGCUGGGCCCCCCACCAACCCUCAAAUCCCUCAGAAGCAAAGGAAGACUCUGUGGCCAGCAGGGUACAGGAAGGGGCAACAGGAAGGAAACAGUCUCAGAGCUGCCUUCGCUGAAGGGUGGCCCUGAGGGGUGGACCCUAUUCUUCUUUUACAGGAAAAGCACCUGACCCUCAGAAGGGCAAAUCACUUGCCCAAGUUCUGCAGCAAACAAGAAAGAGGGGCAGGAUUCUGACUUCAGAACACCUGACUCCCAAGUGCCUCUUCUCGUCUCCUCUCUGCCUGGAAGGCCCGAUUCUCUCUGGCGCUGCCGAAUCCUGCUUUUCGAGGCCCAGCCAAGUGCCAGUUCUGCAGGGACGGUGGCCUGGUGCCCUACAGCCCACCACAACUCUCCUUCCUCUGCCACACACAGCAGUGACCAUCCAUGUGGUCCAUGCUCAGCCCUGAGCGCAGAUGCCCCUGGCUGGGCUCCCCAGGACGUGCUCAUCUUACCAUGUCACCGGGAGAAAUGUGGGUACCUGGAAAGUGCCCAAAAUGGGGCCUGGCACAGAAUGGAGAUUCUCUGUGCCUACGAUCAUGUUCUUCCCCAUCACAGUGCCCACCAUACAGCUUUCCUGUCUCCAUCCUCUCCCUAAGUCUGCAAGCUCCCUGGGGCUGGGGGUAUUAACCUCAUUUUAGGGUCCCCUAGUGCCGCUGCAAGGUGCACCAAAAGUCUGAUGAAGCAAAGGAUAAACUGGCCUGCUGCCCCUUCAUUCCACUGCACAAAGCGAUGAGGUCCUGACCACGGGCUGAGCGCCCCCUGGUGUGUGGAGCCCAGAAGUGGGCAAUGGGGAUACUGUGAGGUUCUAGGGGCAAUAGAAAAGAUAGAUGAAGCAGAUGCCUGGAAAUGGUGGAACCUGGGAUCACAGGGAUCCAAUAUGCCCCCUCUUCAGCACGCAGCGUUCUCUGGGCUGGGAGAAGUGUGAGCUCUGUGGUCAAGCAAGACCUGAUUCCAUUGCUCACCAGCUAUGUGACCUUGGGCCUCAAUUUUCUCAUCUGUAAAAUGGGGACGGUAACAAUUUCUGUAUCAGGGGUGUUGUGAAAACUAAACGCAAAGCUCCUGGUA